AAUUUUAGUUUUUUCUUCAAUUUUUUUUUCAUUUUUUUUAUUGAUGGAAUUUUAGAGCUGCGAUGUCGGGAUCGGAGACAGGGGUGAUGACAAGCACUAGGGAUCCCUUCGCCGUGAGUCUCCAGAAAGGUCAGGUAACGCCACAGCCAGUCAUACAGAACAUGCGUUUAGCCUUCGGUGCUGAUGGGACAGCCGUAUACAAACCCGUGUCCACAGCUACCUCUCCUACGUACCAACCUCCUUCC
rnacentral:misc_RNA from 1 species